rnacentral:tRNA from 1 species
GCUGGGAUUAUGGCUCAGUGGAAGAGUGCUUGCCUUGCACACAUGAGGCACUGAGUUUGAUCCUCAGCACAACA